GGUGCGUACAAAUUCUUCACACAAAAAGAAGAAAUCGACAGCACCGGAGGAGCCGGUUCGGAUCACCUCAAAACGGUAUAAAGGUGCAAACGGAUUGUUUACGUAGAGGAGUUUGCGGCACAGGAGGAGCCGGUUCGGGCAAUAGGAUGCUGGCACAAAGAGUGGUGUGUAGCAGAAGGUAACCAACGCUCGGUGAGUAAACUUUAGGGUUGUGGUGAUGGUUCGAAAUCAGUGCGAAUCGCGUGUAGAUUAUUGUUUUUAUAAAUUUUGAAACAUUGAGCACAUACCUUUAAUAUUCCGUA